rnacentral:rRNA from 1 species
GACGAACGCUGGCGGCGUGCCUAAUACAUGCAAGUUGAGCGCUGAAGGUUGGUACUUGUACCGACUGGAUGAGCAGCGAACGGGUGAGUAACGCGUGGGGAAUCUGCCUUUGAGCGGGGGACAACAUUUGGAAACGAAUGCUAAUACCGCAUAAAAACUUUAAACACAAGUUUUAAGUUUGAAAGAUGCAAUUGCAUCACUCAAAGAUGAUCCCGCGUUGUAUUAGCUAGUUGGUGAGGUAAAGGCUCACCAAGGCGAUGAUACAUAGCCGACCUGAGAGGGUGAUCGGCCACAUUGGGACUGAGACACGGCCCAAACUCCUACGGGAGGCAGCAGGAGGGAAUCUUCGGCAAUGGACGAAAGUCUGACCGAGCAACGCCGCGUGAGGGAAGAAGGUUUUCGGAUCGUAAAACUCUGUUGGUAGAGAAGAACGUUGGUGAGAGUGGAAAGCUCAUCAAGUGACGGUAACUACCCAGAAAGGGACGGCUAACUACGUG